AGCUUGCUCUUUGGGUGACGAGCGGCGGACGGGUGAGUAAUGUCUGGGAAACUGCCUGAUGGAGGGGGAUAACUACUGGAAACGGUAGCUAAUACCGCAUAACGUCGCAAGACCAAAGUGGGGGACCUUCGGGCCUCAUGCCAUCAGAUGUGCCCAGAUGGGAUUAGCUAGUAGGUGAGGUAAUGGCUCACCUAGGCGACGAUCCCUAGCUGGUCUGAGAGGAUGACCAGCCACACUGGAACUGAGACACGGUCCAGACUCCUACGGGAGGCAGCAGUGGGGAAUAUUGCACAAUGGGCGCAAGCCUGAUGCAGCCAUGCCGCGUGUAUGAAGAAGGCCUUCGGGUUGUAAAGUACUUUCAGCGAGGAGGAAGGCGUUAAGGUUAAUAACCUUGGCGAUUGACGUUACUCGCAGAAGAAGCACCGGCUAACUCCGUGCCAGCAGCCGCGGUAAUACGGAGGGUGCAAGCGUUAAUCGGAAUUACUGGGCGUAAAGCGCACGCAGGCGGUCUGUCAAGUCGGAUGUGAAAUCCCCGGGCUCAACCUGGGAACUGCAUCCGAAACUGGCAGGCUAGAGUCUUGUAGAGGGGGGUAGAAUUCCAGGUGUAGCGGUGAAAUGCGUAGAGAUCUGGAGGAAUACCGGUGGCGAAGGCGGCCCCCUGGACAAAGACUGACGCUCAGGUGCGAAAGCGU
rnacentral:rRNA from 1 species